GUCACUGACGUCCAAUUAAGGAGGCGCUGAGACCGAGGGAGUGGGUGGAGCUUUGAGCCGCUAUUGGCUGCAGCGGGCUGUCAGUCGGCCGUACAUGGCAGUGAGGGGGUGAGUUAUUUUUAGAGGCCUAUAUAAAACCAGCAGCAUUCCUCUCUCAGUCAUUACAGGCUGCACAGGCAGAGAGGAGAGAAACCACGAGCGCUGCCGGGGAAACUAAAAAAACACAAACACGCACUGUGAAUGUGCAGAAAAAGAAGCAGCAGCAGCAGAGAUGUUGGAGAUGAUGAGAUGGUGUGUUUUCGUGUGUUUGUGAGCAUCGAACAGAGAGCUUGACUACUGAUGGAGGCGAUGGAGGUGUUAUUAAAGGUCAAAAUGUCACCUGAGAGGCGUAAAAGUGCUCCACCUCCAGUCCAAGUAUGGCAAAGGUUGAGCUUCUUCUCUGUGUCUCGUCCCUCAGGGGACAUGCUGUUGGUCUCCGAGGACAACAGGGGCCAGAUGGCUUCUAGAUCUGCUGUUUUCCAGGACAUUUUCCCCAUUGAUUUUUACAGUCUGCUGCUGGAGGAACAGAGGGAAGGAGGAGGGAGCUGGAGUGAAGGAGAUGGUGUAAGUCAGGUACAGCUCGUGGACCACAAGAGGCCUCGAAACAUCCACUUGAGGCUGGAUACAGAACAAGUCAGUCUCCAUAGGUCCCCAUGUUCAAAUGUCCAACUUCACAGCAGAAAUAAACAUGU